GACCCUGUCUCAAAACAUAUAUAUGGAAGUACAGUAGUGUAAUUCUAACAUUGCAGAACGUAGCUUAGUCAUGUCUGUUCUGUUUUCUUCUCAUGCAGUUCCUAACUCUUGUCUUCUUUCGUAAUCUAAAAAAAACCUGCUGCCCAGCUCCCAUGUCCUCUGCUUCUCUUGUCUUGUGUUGCUCCACCUGGAACAGCUGCACAUCCAUGUCACCCUCCCUCAGCGCAUCGCCUCGUUGUUGCCUCUGCAUGUGCAUGUGUUUGGGACGGAUGCACAAAAAGCCCUCCUGGUGGUCCUUCCAGCAAGCUGGGCUUUCCUUUACUGCACAGUGGGCAAGAUUCCUGCCUUGUUUCCUGAUGAUACAGCUUCUCCAGAGUUUGGGGGGCCUGGAACUCUAACUUGGGGGUACUGGGUUCUAUCCAGAGAGGUUGACAGCAGGAGGGUUUGCAACAGCACUUGUCUUGCAGACACAGUGAAGUGCUCAGUGUGAAUCUGAGCCAACAGUAGAUGGGGGUCUCUGGGCGGCAGCAUGGUCCCCACAAGGCUCUUAGGCAUCAGUGAGUGCUUUUGUGUGGAGUUAAUGUGUGUGAUUUUUUUAACUUGAGAAUAGUAGUUCCCAAACUUGCUGCACAUAAGAAACACCUGGAAUCCUUUAAAUAUUCUGAAGCCCCAGCCAAUACCCCAGACGAGCUAAAUCCCAGACCGAGUGGCCCCAACCAUCAGUUAUUUGAAGGUCUCAGGGCAUUGCCAGCUUCUGGUCCAGGCUGAGAGCCUGUCCUCCAGAACCCUUGUGAUCCAGUAAACAGAAUCAAAGACCAGUACAAGGUGUCCGUGCGCAUCCCUCCUGACAGUGAGAAGAGCAAUUUGAUCCGCAUCGAGGGGGACCCACAGGGCGUGCAGCAGGCCAAGCGAGAGCUGCUGGAGCUUGCAUCUCGCAUGGAAAAUGAGCGUACCAAGGAUCUAAUCAUUGAGCAAAGAUUUCAUCGCACAAUCAUUGGGCAGAAGGGUGAACGGAUCCGUGAAAUUCGUGACAAAUUCC
rnacentral:sRNA from 1 species